rnacentral:rRNA from 1 species
AUACUUUUUUAGAGUAUCAUUGGAGGGCAGUCUGGUGCCAGCAGCCGCGGUAAUUCCAGCUCCAAUAGCGUAUAUUAAAAUUGUUGCAGUUAAAAAGCUCGUAGUUGAAUUUCUGCUGCAUCGUCGCAUCUCUUGCUGAGUGCUUCGUUUCGGCUUAUUUCGGAUUGAUUUUUUCUUUCCGGAUGAUUACUUUGAGAAAAUUAGAGUGCUCAAAGCAGGCUUUUGCCUUGAAUAGUUUAGCAUGGAAUAAUAAAGUAGGACUUUGGUUCUAUUUUGUUGGUUUUAGGUACCAAAGUAAUGGUUAAUAGGAACAGUUGGGGGCAUUCGUAUUUAACUGUCAGAGGUGAAAUUCUUAGAUUUGUUAAAGACGAACUACUGCGAAAGCAUUUGCCAAGGAUGUUUUCAUUAAUCAAGAACGAAAGUUAGGGGAUCGAAGACGAUCAGAUACCGUCGUAGUCCUACC